rnacentral:rRNA from 1 species
UACGUAGGGACCAAGCGUUGUUCGGAUUUACUGGGCGUAAAGGGCGCGUAGGCGGCAAUUCAAGUCAGUUGUGAAAUCUCCGAGCUUAACUCGGAACGGUCAACUGAUACUGUUUUGCUAGAGUACAGAAGGGGCAAUCGGAAUUCUUGGUGUAGCGGUGAAAAUGCGUAGAUAUCAAGAGGAACACCUGAGGUGAAGACGGGUUGCUGGGCUGAUACUGACGCUGAGGCGCGAAAGCUAGGGUAGCAAACGGG